CAUUUAAAUAGUUUAAGAAAAACAUUACAUUUUCAUUGUAAAAUUGAAAAAAAAUCUUUAAAU
rnacentral:tRNA from 1 species